rnacentral:rRNA from 1 species
UACAGAGGGUGCGAGCGUUGUCCGGAAUCACUGGGCGUAAAGGGCGCGUAGGUGGCUUGAUAAGUAGGGGGUGAAAUCUCGCGGCUCAACUGCGAGGCUGCCUCCUAAACUGUCGGGCUUGAGCAGAGUAGAGGCAGGUGGAAUUCCCGGUGUAGCGGUGGAAUGCGUAGAGAUCGGGAAGAACAUCGGUGGCGAAGGCGGCCUGCUGGGCUCUUGCUGACACUGAGGCGCGACAGCGUGGGUAGCAAACAGG